CGCAGCUAACGCAUUAAGUUCCCCGCCUGGGGAGUACGGCCGCAAGGCUAAAACUCAAAGGAAUUGACGGGGGCCCGCACAAGCGGCGGAGCAUGCGGAUUAAUUCGAUGCAACGCGAAGAACCUUACCAAGUCUUGACAUACACCGGAAACGGCCAGAAAUGGUCGCCCCGCAAGGUCGGUGUACAGGUGGUGCAUGGUUGUCGUCAGCUCGUGUCGUGAGAUGUUGGGUUAAGUCCCGCAACGAGCGCAACCCUCGUUCUAUGUUGCCAGCGGGUUAUGCCGGGAACUCAUAGGAGACUGCCGGGGUCAACUCGGAGGAAGGUGGGGAUGACGUCAAAUCAUCAUGCCCCUUAUGUCUUGGGCUUCACGCAUGCUACAAUGGCCGGUACAAAGGGCUGCAAUACCGCGAGGUGGAGCGAAUCCCAAAAAGCCGGUCUCAGUUCGGAUUGAGGUCUGCAACUCGACCUCAUGAAGUCGGAGUCGCUAGUAAUCGCAGAUCAGCAACGCUGCGGUGAAUACUUUCUCGGGCCUUGUACACACCGCCCGUCAAGUCAUGAAAGUCGGUAACACCCGA
rnacentral:rRNA from 1 species